CAGUCACCGUCAAGUGUUGCGAACGAUCUAAGCCAUGCCUUCAAAAGAUGCGAGUUAAAAGAAAACACUACCGGGAAAGUCCUGACACACAACAUCUCUAGUUUAUCUUUAACGGUAACUAAUUGUGUCUAAAAUAUUUAUGAUAACAUAAAUCUAAAAGGACUAGGAAGAACGUUUUAUGGGUAUCGGGAUUGAAACAGUGGGUAUCGGGAUUGCAACAGUCCUCGUCGUACUUGACAGAAACGAAAAUAAAGAACACAACAAUUUGUUUACUCAAUAAAACCUCAAUUUGAGGAAAAACACUGCUGGGGCUUUAACUCUUAAAAGCCUCUAUUGAAAAGAAAAUACACUAUGAAUCAAGAACGAGUCAAUUACAAACUUUCUAGCACUAACUGCGGCUAUUAUCUCUAGAACCCCAGUAGAUAUGGUUGAAACACUCUUCUUCUUCAAAUAAUCUCUUCUUCAAUCUCCAAGGAACUAACCACAUCCUUGAUCCUUUAAUCACAUAAACAAGUUCAACUCAACACGAAACAGUUGAACUUGUGACCUUACAAAGUAUUGCAGCGGAAAUACUAUCUCUCAAAUGCUAUGCGUGCAAAGAUAGUUCUCUAAGAAUAAUUGUGCAAAAUGUAUUCUUCCAAUAGCUGUUGCAUCUUCUUUUAUAGAUGAAGAACUUCUACUCUUUAUUCACGUCUUUAAUCAGAUUGGUUUCCAAUAGAUAAGUCCUUCUCCUAUUACUAUACAAAGACAACAAUAAUAUCAGAUAUAAAAUAUAUCCCAAAUCAAAUAAUAAUAAUCAGAGUAUAUAUAACCUAAUCACAUUAGGUUUUCUUCCUUUUCAAGUGCACGAAUCUCAUGAUUUAAUGAAUCAACAUCCUAACCAAAUUAGGAUCCUUAUCUAUGAACGUAAUAGCUUCUUUCCCUGUGUAUAUCAUAUCCAAUUAAACAUAGAUAUAUAUAUAUAUAUAUAUACAUAGAGGAUGUAGAGCGGACGUCCGCACUCGGCUUAAAGUGCGGACGUCCAUCCGUUCUCCACCCUCCGGCGCCGGCGAUGGCGCGCCUCCACCCCAGAAGACUCCAGCAGCGUCCCCGACCACUUCUCCUCCCCGGCGAGUUCCGUUUUUUUCCAGUUUCCGGCGAGAUCGACUUUGUUUGAAGUUUUGGAUGAUCUCGCCAGAAAACCGGAAAAGAAUGGACUUGCCGGGGAGAGAAAGUGGUCGGGGACGCUGCUGGAGUCUUCUGGGGUAGAGGCGUGCCGGCGCCGGAGGGUGAAGAACGGACGGACGUCCGCACUUUAAGGCCGGUGCGGACGUCCGCUCCACAUCCGGCCUAUAUAUAUAUAUAUAUCCAUAUAUGUCAUAGUGAAAAUAGCCUUGCUUUUUUUGAACUCAAAGACAAUUUUGUUAUUAGUACUAAAGUAUAGGGUACAAUACGAAUCGAUUCGUUGCUGGAAACAAUAGUUCCUUGAUGUAAAUGAUCCAAAAUAGUAAAUUACCAUAGCACCUAGUAAAGUAGCAGCAGCAUUUGAACUUGUAGCAGCUCACCUCUGGGAGGUAAAUUUGUAGCUUGCAAAUGUGUAAUGUGUCGACUUCAGGAGAAGACUUUGGCUUUAGGAUUGAGCAAGGAAACAACGUUGUGCUUGCAUUUCCUUAAGGUGACACACUUAAACCGGCUAUGCUUACGUCCCUAAGUGGUUCCUAAUAACCCCAAUGAUCUGCUGCAAUAAUAUAUCUCUUUAUUCACACAAAGCCAUGUCCAACCCUCAUGUUAAUACAAGGUGCCGGAUAUGAAGCUUUAAUUGGUAUAUGGUGAAUUGAUGAUGGCUUCAAGGAUGAUGACUUGCUCACAUCGCGGAUGCAGAAACUUAACCUUCUUGAGGAAGAUAUGGAUCACAAUAGUAUAGAGUUCUGUGAGUUGAGCAAAUCCGAGAGAAAGGAUAUGAUUUCUAUGUUGAUCAUCAGACACAGGAGGAGGAGGAGGAGGAGGAGGCUUGUAAACCAAGUUUUCGAAGAAGUCAUUGUAUUGAGAGAGGUCUCCAAACUCUGAUGUCUUAACCACAGUGGUUCCCUUGGCAAGAAAAGAACCUCAGAGAAUAUGUGAGUUUCAUACUUUCAUUAUUAAUUUUAUAUUCUCAUAAUAUUUUAUUUUUGAUGAACAAGAAUUACCAAGCAUGUUAAUUAAGAGAAGAUUGAUUCAUGUUGUAGCAUUCUCCAGAAUGGUUGAAGUUAAGGAACCAUGAGAAUGUCCAUAAAGAUCACAAUGAUUCUUGUUGCGGAAGUACUAGACUUGAACACCAUACUUUAUAUCUCCUAACAUAACUAGCUAGCAUAUUUGACUUGAACACUUAACCGCAUGAUCCUCACCAAGGACAAGAUAAAGAGAAGGUUAACUAUCUCGAUGUCCUAAAGAACACUAAGAUCAGAAUGACUAUUUUCCUUAGCAAAGUUAGAAGAGCUACCAGUCUCUCUGAUACAGCCUCCAGGGAGAAGGAACCUAAAUUUGUCCGCAUUCUUUAUCAGAUAAGCUGGAAGGUUAAUAGCAGAAGCUGAUUUGGGAAUCGAUCCCAUCUUGCUGAUCACUUCCUUGAAUGUGUACCCUUCAGGCAACAUAUCGAAAAGAUCAUCUCCUUGACAAAUGAGCUUCUGUAUUCUUCCGUAAUCCAGAAAAUCUCUCCGCCACACACGGUCUGCGUGGCUAUAAGCACUCAUCUUGAACACAAACUCCUCAAUGUGCCGAAAGCAAAAACUACAAUGCCAUCCUGCAUCAGAGAGCAGGUCAUCAGUACGCCUCGAAUGCGUGUACCUGGUAUCCUUGCUGUAGAUAGUGGCUGCAGUCUUCCAGAUGCUGUCCAUGGGGAACUCAAAUGAGUACAGGUAAUGCUUCAUCUCAAGAUGCAAUUCAGAAGGGAUUCCCUCACACCAUUGCAACAGUUUCAAAACCUUCGUGCUAGGGAUCUCAUCAGUAUCCGCCAUUAUCAGGAUAUCGCCAUAGGAAAUCCCUGCCUGUCGAAGUAACACAUCCAUAGCUGCACGUUGCAUUCUCUCAUAUUUGAAGGGGUUUGCAUGUGAACCUCACUUCGAGCUGUGCCAGGAAAGACAUGGUGCACAACUUUUUCCUCUAGCAAAAGGCAAACCUGUUCCUAUUUGAAUAAAGAAGNNNNNNNNNNNNNNNNNNNNNNNNNNNNNNNNNNNNNNNNNNNNNNNNNNNNNNNNNNNNNNNNNNNNNNNNNNNNNNNNNNNNNNNNNNNNNNNNNNNNNNNNNNNNNNNNNNNNNNNNNNNNNNNNNNNNNNNNNNNNNNNNNNNNNNNNNNNNNNNNNNNNNNNNNNNNNNNNNNNNNNNNNNNNNNNNNNNNNNNNNNNNNNNNNNNNNNNNNNNNNNNNNNNNNNNNNNNNNNNNNNNNNNNNNNNNNNNNNNNNNNNNNNNNNNNNNNNNNNNNNNNNNNNNNNNNNNNNNNNNNNNNNNNNNNNNNNNNNNNNNNNNNNNNNNNNNNNNNNNNNNNNNNNNNNNNNNNNNNNNNNNNNNNNNNNNNNNNNNNNNNNNNNNNNNNNNNNNNNNNNNNNNNNNNGAACGGAGCUGGCGGCGUAUCCCAAAGUGGCCGCAAGAAGUAUGUAACUUUCCGGUAAUCUGUAUAGAAUCCUAACAUACAUGCAGACACAAAUAUCAACAGUAGGAGAUAAAAGAAGUUGCGUGGAGUUCGUCUGGAAAUAGGACGAAGAGAUCGUGGUGCCAUGCCGUGAAGGAUAUUUCUUUUCUUUUUGAAAGUAUAGCCGGGUGGUGCUGCCAUCAAGCCUUGAUUAAAGAAACCGCGGAAUCCAUAACGGGACGUGGUGCCUAUACCCCAAUUUACAAAACGCAUAUCAAGAGAACUUCCUGAAAUUAAUACAACAUCGAGGUUUAGGAGGUUUAGGAGGGUCAAAAAUCAUAGCUCUAACAAUCUUGAUCUACCUGCAUAGAGAAAACGUUUUUAAAUCAUGAUGAUAAACAAUGUACCUCACUUUUGCACAAAUUGUAAUACUACCUGGUUUGCUUUAUCAUAACUUAAAGUGACUGAAAGUGAGAUUCUUGAAAACCCACCAUGUCAUCUGAUAAAGGGGAAUUGAAAAGCCCUCUGGCAAAUAUUCAAAUACAUCGAUCAUAUGUUUUACACCCAACAAAUCGAUCAAGAAAAACCAUGUCUAUCAUAGUUUGUUUGCUCACACCAUAAGACAUCAGUUCUAGAGCCUAUCUAGCAUUUUAUGAAACAGCAACCAAAUCUCUCUUAGAUAAUUCAGGGUCUAAUAUGCAUUCAGAAAUUCAAAUCCUAAAUUAAGAAAUCAAAGAGGACAAUGAAACCAAUAAGACAGAGAUAUAUACCUCUAGUGUCCGCAGGUACAAGAGAGCAAAGGAGGACGGCAAAGCCUAAAAUGGCAGAAAUUCUUGAGUUUGAGACUGAGCAGUCACCGUCUUAAUUAUAAAGAUCAACAAAGUGGAUAUGGACAAAAUUUGGUAGCUUUGUAAUAAACGCCGGUGCGGCGAUUCUCAAGUCUUAGUGUUUAUGUAGAUUUUGUUAAGUGUAUGACUUGUGUUGGGCUUAAUUAAAUAAAGCCUAACUAAACUUGUAGUUAGAGAUUUUAUAAAUUUGCUGGCCGAAUUUAAAAAGUUUGCUGGGUGUGCUUAUACUAAUUUUAAAAUGGAAUUGAAAUAGUCCUGUAACUGCUGUUUAUAGCUAAUAUUAAGAUUCAAGUUGUUAAUUAAGUCGGUGAAUUGAACGAUUCAUACCUAUAACAAUGCCUAAAGUUAAUGAAGCCUCUGAUAUAUGCAUGUCUCAUAAAGAGAGUAGGAAAACCAAGUACAAUCUUACGCCAUAGCAAAAGUGAUAAUAUAUUUGGCUAAUCGCAUCACACAAAUGUGCUUCUUAACUUGUAUGAAAAAUAUAUAUGAUUACAAUCAUAGAAUCAUAGCUAUGAAUUGAGUUAUAUGAUCCAAAUAAAAACUUACCAAGACAGUGUGGACUAAACCAAAUAGGUCGGAAAUGUGGAGUGUCUCAAGGGUUCUGACUUUUGUGCCGCCCUAGAUUAUUAACAAAUCUUGGCCGCCUGAAUUUCUAGUGCACUACUUUGUUAUUUGGAACCAAGCAAAUUAGGCAUCAGGUUGGUCAGCUUUUUGAUGCAUAAAUCCAUUCAGUAGUCCAUUCUAUAAACUGGUGGUCUUGGUCUUGGUCUUGGACUAUGCUUCGAUUCAUUUAUAAUAGGAGCAUGCGUGUCCCUGUGAUUGACUUUGAAAGUUGUGGCGACUACACCGACCCGGAGUACACGUACAUUUCAAUCACAGUCAAGUGUUACGAACGAUUUAAGCCAUGCUUUCAAAAGAUGCGAGUUGAAAGAAAACGCUACCCUGAUAUAAAUCAAUGAGCAAACAUGUCACGUGACACGACUAACUCACGUAUUAUUGUUAAGUUUGCGUAUAUUUUUAAAUAGAUGCAUACUGCUAAAUGGAGACGUAACUACAAGUUGAUUAGUUUUGACAGUUAAUUGAAAGAGUCGAACAUGUCACGUGACACGACUAACUCACGUAUUACAUAUUGUUAAGUUUGUGUACAUUUUCAAAUGGAUGCAUACUACUAAAUGGAGACGUAACUACAAGUUGAUUAGUUUUAACAGUUAAUUGAAAAAGUCGAACAUGUCGCGUGAUACGACUAACUCACGUAUUACAUAUUGUUAAGUUUGAGUACAUUUUCAAAUGGAUGCAUACUACUAAAUGAAGACGUAACUACAAGUUAAUUAGUUUUGACAGUUAAUUAAAAGAGUCGAGCCAAGUCCAACCUACUCUCUUAUCAGAGCCUUAACUAUGAUAGUAUGAGCAAGAGCAACUUUCUUGUCUAAUCAAGAAAAGUAGGAUUGAAGAAAACAAAGCAAAAACAAAAUAAGUAAAGCAAUACAGAUCAAGCAUAUGACAAGAGCUGCAGCAUGUAGCUGUAAUUGUAGGUACCACCGAUGCAAUACUGAAGCAUCCAAGAAAAUUCCAUGGAAAAUGACAUUAGCUAUAUGGACAAAUUGUAUAAAAGCGACCUUGGUCUUGCUAUCCAUGUUUCUGAUUUUGAAUCCAGCCAAAGCUUAUAGCUGGUGCAUCUAUAAUUCACUUGCAUCCUAUACAUUUUGAACUUAGAGUCAAAUCAUAUUGUUAAUUUUGGGAAUCCACAUUAUUUUUCGGCCUUUUGGAAUAGAAAGGAUGUGAGAUUGAAAGUAACGCUCUUAUUUAGUGGUUAGCAUGUUCUAUUGUGGUCAAUCGUGUAUUCAUAGUGUUGGUGAGUACAGUCAUGUAUUCAACAUGCAAAUGGUGGUCUAAAUUGUUUAGCCGUUUCACCUAUAGACUUUUUAAACUAAUACAUUUCAAAAAGAUGCACAUCACCCCUCUUAUUCAUCCAUGAUGCCUGCAAAGAAGCCGAAAGGGAAUUUACGUUAGAUUGAUUUUUUUUAUAAUGUUAGCGAGCAAACUUAUACAUAAACGAUCAACUUCUCAUGUACAAAUCAAAAAGUCAAUAAGAACUACGAAACAAGUAGAAGAAGCAACUUCUCAUGUACAAAUCAACAAGUCCAUAAGAACUACGAAGCAAGAAGCAUAAAAUUUACGUUAGAUUGAUUGUUCUUAUAAUGUUAGCGAGCAAACUUAUACAUAAACGAUCAACUUCUUAUGUACAAAUCAACAAGUCAAUAACAACUACGAAACAAAUAAAACAUUUACGAAUCACGUUUUUAAAGGAGAGUGUAAUUGAUAAUGUGUGAAUUAUAGUCUACAUACCUUGACCCACUUAAAUGUGAAUUAGGGUGUAGAUUGGAAUGGAAGAUGUGUAAAUUUUAAUAAUGAGAUACAAUAUUUCCUAGUUAGUAAAAAUCAUAUUGUGAAAUGAACCCAAUUAUUAAUACGGUGGAAAGUAAAUGAUGACAUUACCAAAAUUGUGGGUUUUUCAAGGAGGUUCACCUUAUAAUCAGUGCAGGCGCAUGCAUUGGAUAUUAACCCCUCCUUUUUCUAGAUAAAUACAAAGUGAUCUGAUUAGAACCGUUUAAAAUGUCUUUCGUCAGACUGAGUUGACGUGUGGUUGUUACCAUCCCACGUGAAAACGACAACAAUUUAUUAUCUCGCGAUAUACGAUACGAUAAGCGCGAAAUUGUGAGUCAUUGGAAGACUUUUCCUUUCUGUCACUUUAUUCUAUUUAUUCCUAACAACAAGCAUUUCAGUUCAGCACGCAUUCAUGUACCUUUUCAAAAAAUCAAAAAUAGAAAGCUACUAUCAACAUUAAAAAUAAUAAAUAAAUAAAUAUGAGGUGGAAAUUGGUUUUUGUCCAUGACACGGCAACUGGUGUGAACCAAGUAAACGUUGGUCUACUUACACUUAUAUACAGUCCUAGUAACGAUUUAAAGUAAAGAUUUACCGUUUUUACGUAAUUGUAAUUUCGUUUGAUAUUAUGUUGAAAAGAGUUUAGUUUACUGAGGAAUUGGGUGUCAAGCCGAAAUCCGAAUAUGUAUUCAAGUGUUUAAAAAUUAAAAUUCUUAUCGUAUAAUCUCAUAAUAUAAGUGACAUUUGAUUGUGUGUGACCUCUUGUAUAAAUACAAUGUAAACAGUAACUACAUUGAUGGUCUAUGGCAAUUUAGUGUCCCAAUCUUUCCAUAUAAGAUGAUAAUAAAUGAAAGAAAGAAAUUGGCCACAAAAAUAAAUAGAAAGAAAAUGGCCAACCACCCUACCAUCUUUCAACGAGAAAUUGGGGCAUUAUUGGCCUUUUUUUUUACAAAAAGAAUAAUACAUACCAAGUGGUUCCACGACAAAGAUCUAUACGGAUAAAAAUGAUCAAAGUAAAAAGAACAAGAAGAAAAAGAAGAUAUGAGCGUAAAGAAUUCAUGUGCAAAUAAACUAGUUUUCAUUUUCACUAUUGUAAGUUCAUACCGUGGAAAAUAUAAAGGGACUAGGAUUGACGUUUUAUGGGUAUCGGGAUUGAAACAGUGCCUCGUCGUACUGGACAAAAACGAAAAUAAAGAACACAACAAUUUGUUUACUUAGUGAUACCUCAAUUUGAAGAAAAACACUGUCGGGGCUUUAACUCUUGAAAGCCCCUAUUGAAAAGAAAAUUCAUUAUGAAUCAAGAACGAGUCAAUUACAAAUUUUGUAGUACUAACCGCGGCUACUAUCUCUAGAACCCUAACAUAUAUGUUUGAAUCACUCUUCUUCUUCAAUUAAUCUUCUUCUUCAAUCUCCAAGGAACUAACCACAUCCUUAAUCUUUCAAUUACAUAAACAAGUUAUACUCAACACGAAACAGUUGACCUUGUGACCUUACAAAGUAUCUCUCAAAUGCUAUGCGUGCAAAGAUAGUUCUCUAAGAAUAAUUAUGCAAAAGGUUGUAUUCAAACAAGAUGCUACGUCUCCUUUAUAAACGUCCAAAACUCUUGUGCAAGACAUCUUCUCAUCAUCAACGUCAUAAAUCCAUUUGGUCUCUUAAAAGGAAAUCUUUUAAACUGCACAAUCACCAAAUCAAUCAAAUAUAUCUCAUAUAUCAAAUCUGAUAAUUAAAGGAAUAGAAAACCUAAUCAAAUUAAGUUUCAUUCCUUUUCACGCAUCAAUAAACCCUAAUCAUAUUAGGUUACAUUCAUUCUCAAGUGAAUUUGAUUCAAUAAGAUCAACAUCCUAAUCAAAUUAAGAUCCUUGUCUAUCAACAUCCUAAUCAUAUUAGUAACCAAAUCAGAUAUACUUAAGAGUUAAGACUUCUUCCUAUGUGCAUAUCCAUAUCCCAUUAUACAUAGAUAUAUAUCCAUAUAUGUCAUAGUGAAAAUACCCUUGCUUGCACGCACCAACCUGAGAGCUUAACCAAAUCAAAUCAUAUAUAUAAUAAAUCAAAUCAUAUAUAUAUAUAUAUAAUGCAUCAAUGCUCAUCAAUCAAAUAUUUAACCAAAUAUAUAAGUCCUAAUCAAAUUAGAACUUCCUUGCUCGCACUUCUUCUAUUUUGUAUAGAGAUGCCAAUAAAUCAUAUACCAAUAAAAUAUUGUUGCCCAUUUCCUUUUAAUCAAUAAUGUAUUUGUAGACAAAGGUGAACACGAGUUGAAUAUAAAGUUAUAAUAUAAAUGUAUAAAAGCCUAGAAAAAGUUACGGAUCAAACACGUCUUAGAAAGACAACAACAAAUAAAUUGGCAUCCCAAACAAUAUAGUGAAAUGAUAUCUUGUACCUCACCAACGUACCAUGCUAUCCAUAUGAAAAAUGCUCAUUCAUAAUAUUUGUACGUAGUAGCAUGGAUAGUCAAAAAUUACAGAAAUGUAUAAUAAAAAUUCCUUCAUAACGAUCUUUACAAUCUAAGCCUAGCUAGGAAAACUUGUCCAAACAACCUUUGGUGUUCCCCUGCAUAGCAAACACAAAAGAGAAUCUCUUUAGCCUGUGCAAAGCAAAGCAAAGGAAGGUAAAUAUCUAUGGGUGCUACUAGAUGUACCCAGCAAAUUACUUAAUGUACCCAGCAACAUAAUUUUUAUUCCUAACUUUCCGAUUCUACCCCUUGUUUUACAUAAAAUUAAGUAAGGAAGAACAAAAAGGAAAAGAACGAAAAAAUAUCAUUCUAUCAUAACUUGUUCUCCCCCCCCCAGUAUUUUUUUUUUCUCAUUGGUUUACCACUAUUCGAUUGGUUCUUAGGGAAAUUAUCUGAUCUUCUCAGAUUGAUUGGCUUAUCUCACCCGGGGGGAGGAGGGAGAACCUUUUUUAAUCUCUCAAAUACCCUGAACAGUAGAUCGAUGUUCAUGUUUUGGUUUUUGGCUGGGAGGCUAGAACUGGAUCUUUAGGCUAAAUACUGAAAGCUUCUUAGAUUUCAACAAUCCUCUCAUUGGCUUAUUAAUUCGUUGGCAUAUAUCUAUAUGUAUGAUUGAUUAUCUAUUAUAAGUAUUGAUCAAUAUGAUAUUUUAUGAAAGUAGAGUUGAUCGAGAUGGAACUGCACCAAAUCCAAGUACGUAGUUGCUGGUUCCAAACAACUUUAAGGUUCCAUAUUGAUAUCCUCCAUCAUCUUUGAGAUAUUAGAUGAAGAAACAAACUUGAGAGAGAAGAAGCAAAAUAAGAAGGAAGAAUUGAAGAAGAAAUGAAAUAAUGAUGGA
rnacentral:lncRNA from 1 species